CGAGAGUUUGAUCCUGGCUCAGGACGAACGCUGGCGGCGUGCUUAACACAUGCAAGUCGAACGGUGACCUCGAGAGCUUGCUCUUGGGUGAACAGUGGCGAACGGGUGAGUAACACGUGAGUAACCUGCCCCUGACUCUGGAAUAAGCGCUGGAAACGGCGUCUAAUACCGGAUAUGACACACCCUCGCAUGGGGAGUGUGUGGAAAGUUUUUCGGUCUGGGAUGGACUCGCGGCCUAUCAGCUUGUUGGUGAGGUAAUGGCUCACCAAGGCGAUGACGGGUAGCCGGCCUGAGAGGGCGACCGGCCACACUGGGACUGAGACACGGCCCAGACUCCUACGGGAGGCAGCAGUGGGGAAUAUUGCACAAUGGGCGCAAGCCUGAUGCAGCGACGCCGCGUGAGGGAUGACGGCCUUCGGGUUGUAAACCUCUUUCAGCAGGGAAGAAGCGCAAGUGACGGUACCUGCAGAAGAAGCACCGGCUAACUACGUGCCAGCAGCCGCGGUAAUACGUAGGGUGCGAGCGUUGUCCGGAAUUAUUGGGCGUAAAGAGCUUGUAGGCGGUUUGUCGCGUCUGCUGUGAAAAUCCGGGGCUCAACCCCGGACUUGCAGUGGGUACGGGCAGACUAGAGUGUGGUAGGGGAGACUGGAAUUCCUGGUGUAGCGGUGAAAUGCGCAGAUAUCAGGAGGAACACCGAUGGCGAAGGCAGGUCUCUGGGCCACUACUGACGCUGAGAAGCGAAAGCAUGGGGAGCGAACAGGAUUAGAUACCCUGGUAGUCCAUGCCGUAAACGUUGGGAACUAGGUGUGGGUCUCAUUCCACGAGAUCCGUGCCGCAGCUAACGCAUUAAGUCCCCG
rnacentral:rRNA from 1 species